AUGUUCACCUUGACAGGGCCCUGUGCUAAUCACGAGUCUUUCCUGUUCGGAGCAGUGAGGCCUGAGACCCUCAACAGUGCUGUGUGUACAGAAGGCCCCCAGAAUCCACACAAAGGGGCCGCCUGAAACCUAGAGCAUUUGUGAAGGAGGAAAAUGGAAGGAACAACUGGAUGUUGUAAAUGUUUCUCAUCUGGCCUUAAAAUCCAUGAAAGCUGGAAAAUCACAAGGCAUCUGUGCAUAUACUGGUGGAUUUUAAUGAGAGUCCUGUGUUUGGAGCACCAGAAAUAAACCAGCUUCAGAAGCAAAAACUAGGUUAACAGGAGGAGGAAGCAGAGCUAGAGAUGGAAGGAGACCCAGCCAGCCCGGGCUCCAGUGACAUCGGCUGGUACACGCUUUUGUUUGCUUACGCUUGUUGAACUGAGUUUUUCAUAUGUAACUAACGAAUACUGGCACAUGUAAGCCCGAGAAUUUGCAUUUCUGACAAGAUCCCAGGACCACCGCCUACUUUAAGAGAACACAGACAAUUCACCUCUAUAAAGGCACAGCCAGGAAAAGGAGUAGGCAGAGGUGACAGCAGAUCAUGGGGCUUCUCUUGAAAGGAAGACACCUCCCAGUGAUGAACCCUCAUCAUCCAUUUACUGACAUAUCCUUAUGUCACCAGGAUCUGAACGUCUAUGACACUCUUUCGAGCUGACACAGUGAAGAACAUAGAAGGAGAACUCACCCAGUCUGCCAGGGUCACAGAAUGAUCAUACUCAAGAUCUUCCUGGGGAGUCAAUGGCAAAUUUCACUGGGCUAUUUUACAGAUGAAGAAGGAACAUAAAGAAGGUUCUGGGACCCC
rnacentral:lncRNA from 10 species